UUUAUUCUCAGACUGUUUACGAAGACUACACUCGAUCCUCUGCACAACAAGCAACCAUGGCCAGUUAAGUCAUCUCACCAGAGUAUUUCGAGCUGAUGGAAAAUUAUGGAAAGGUACUGUAGAUAUAGUUUUUCUGGACCUCUGGAGAACAGUUCGGAACUGAUAGAAUUAUCCAGUAUAAAUAAAGUUAGUUUAGUUUAGGUUUCCUCCUGUAGUAACACUGGAUCAAUAAGAGAUGAUUCUUACUGCACCUCUAGGAAAAACAGUUUAGAACUGAUAGAGUUAUCCAGUAUAAAUAAAGUUAGUUUUGUUUAGGUUUCCUCCUGUAGUAACACUGGAUCAAUAAGAGAUGAUUCUUACUGCACCUCUAGGAAAAACAGUUUAGAACUGAUGGAGUUAUCCAGUAUAAAUAAAGUUAGUUUAGUUUAGGUUUCUUCCUGUAGUAACACUAGAUCAAUAAGAGAUGAUUCUUACUGCACCUCUAGGAAAAACAGUUUAGAACUGAUAGAGUUAUCCAGUAUAAAUAAAGUUAGUUUUGUUUAGGUUUUCUCCUGUAGUAACAUUGGAUCAAUAAGAGAUGAUCCUUACUGGAUCUCUAGGAAGAACAGUUUAGAACUGAUAGAGCUAUCCAGUAUAAAUAAAGUUAGUUUAGUUUAGGUUUCCUCCUGUGGUAACACUGGAUCAAUAAGAGAUGAUCCUUACUGGAUCUCUAGGAAGAACAGUUUAGAACUGAUAGAGCUAUCCAGUAUAAAUAAAGUUAGUUUAGUUUAGGUUUUCUCCUGUAGUAACAUUGGAUCAAUAAGAGAUGAUCCUUACUGGAUCUCUAGGAAGAACAGUUUAGAACUGAUAGAGCUAUCCAGUAUAAAUAAAGUUAGUUUAGUUUAGGUUUCCUCCUGUGGUAGCACUGGAUCAAUAAGAGAUGAUCCUUACUGGAUCUCUAGGAAGAACAGUUUAGAACUGAUAAAGCUAUCUAGUAUAAAGAAAAAUUAGUUUAGUUUAGGUUUCCUCCUGUAGUAACACUGGAUCAAUAAGAGAUGAUCCUUACUGGACCUCUAGGAAGAACUGUUUAGAACUGAUAAAGCUAUCCAGUAUAAAUAAAGUUAGCGGAAGUUAGUAAAUUUAACUGCUUUAACAAUUAUGCAUUUUUUAAUUUCAGUGGCAAGACUUCACAAUCAUCAGUUGUUUAUGAAUACGUAUGUUGCAUUUAUGAAAUAAACAAUUAUAUUUGUUGCUCUGCAAACUUACAAAAAAUGUUGUUUUAUAGGUUGCUAAAAGAUUCAUUUGGAAAAGUAACACUCGCCAUUGAGUUAACGAAGGUAAACGUAAAAUUAUUUUUUUAGUUUUUGCUAUUGACUAAUAUCUAAUGUACUUAAUGUUACAAAUAAUAUUUCUGCAGAAUUAUUCAAUUAUCAUGAACGACUAUUAUGAUGAUGAUCAAGAUCACUCCAUA